rnacentral:rRNA from 1 species
UCCUGGCUCAGGAUGAACGCUAGCUACAGGCUUAACACAUGCAAGUCGAGGGGAAACGAUAUUGGAAGCUUGCUUCUGAUAGGCGUCGACCGGCGCACGGGUGAGUAACGCGUAUCCAACCUGCCCAUCACUUGGGGAUAACCUUGCGAAAGUAAGACUAAUACCCAAUGACGUCUCUAGAAGACAUCUGAAAGAGAUUAAAGAUUUAUCGGUGAUGGAUGGGGAUGCGUCUGAUUAGCUUGUUGGCGGGGUAACGGCCCACCAAGGCGACGAUCAGUAGGGGUUCUGAGAGGAAGGUCCCCCACAUUGGAACUGAGACACGGUCCAAACUCCUACGGGAGGCAGCAGUGAGGAAUAUUGGUCAAUGGACGAGAGUCUGAACCAGCCAAGUAGCGUGCAGGAUGACGGCCCUAUGGGUUGUAAACUGCUUUUAUAAGGGAAUAAAGUGGGAGUCGUGACUCUUUUUGCAUGUACCUUAUGAAUAAGGACCGGCUAAUUCCGUG